GUGCGCUUGCGCUUGCCUUGGAAGGAGAUUUGGAUGUGGAAGUUAGAAUCAGGGUUAGGGUCCGGAUUAGGGUUAGGGUUUGGUUGAGGGAAGAAAGAAGGGAUUUGGGAGAGGGAGGUGGGGAGAGGAGGGAGAGGAUCUGGAGGAGUUUGGUCGCACAUUUUUUUCUCUGCUACCGUCUGUCGUUCUUUUCUUCUUCUUUCUUCUUGAUCGCUACUGUUAUGAGGAGGGCUUUCGUCGGGGAGGAUCCCAAGAAUCAGCGGUGGUUGGGGCGGAAGAAAGGAGUCGGCCAGUGAAGUGGCUGAGCUCGGGCCGCUUCCCCGGCAUUAUUCCGUUGCCGUCGCCGGAUAGGAUUCACGCAGCCGCCGGAAUCCGGUUCCCAGAAACAGCAAAGACGGGAAGGUUACUACUUUGCCAGUGCCGUUGGGGUUUUACGAUUUUAUCUGUUCACAAAAUCGAAUCUAUAUUUUAACAAAUAAAAUUUAUGUUGGGAUCCAAAGGAAAAAUUCAUGGAUUUACCUGUCAACUCUACCCAACCUACAAAUCCACGUGUCUCGUUUGGGACCAAAUUAGAUUUGAGCAAUGCAGGUCGACCAUCUUGAUCCCAAAAUGGGAUGGGAUUAAUGUUUAGGAGUGUCAUUUUUCAAAUUGUCACUGCUUACUCAUGGGCUGGUCACAUAUAUCACACAUCCAAACACAAGUUUUGAUUAUAAACCAGCAUUAGCAUCCCCGCUCAUCCUUCACUUGUUACUAGAUUAUUAUCUUACCUUACAUAUUGGUUGCUUCAGCAUCUACCAAUUUAACACCUAUGUAUUAGUUUUUAUUAUUAUGAGGAUUCAUGCGGUGUGUGUUUAGUCUUACAUUGAUUAUUCGCUGAAUAGAUUUUACGUAAUUAUGCAAGAUUAAGAAAUUCAAAUAAUAUCUUCUAACUAAUUUUUAGGAUAAAGUUUUGGUUCGUAGAAUAAAAAAAUACUGCAGCACAGACUCAUUUGGGUUGGCCACAAGCCGAUUGUGAUAUUUGUAAGAUUCUGAGUUGUUACAAUUAUCUUGAUUAAUAGAAACCUAUAUAAUUCAUUAAGCAUUUGUAGGAUUUUGAGUUGUUGCAAUUAUCUUGAUUGAUAGAAACCUAUAUAAUCCAACAAGCACUGGUGCACCAACUCAUGAUUCAAGACCACUUGUUGCUACAAUAUCUAAUGACUCCUAGGCGGCCGCCCUUGCAACUACUCUAGAACAAUGCAAUCAUUUUCUAAAAUUAAUCUAGGCUGGUAACUGACAUUCUUUGGCAAAUCUUGCAAGUAAAUAUCUCUGUCUUUCUUCUUUCUUAAAUAAUCAAUCUUGGAUUAUUGAUUUUGUUGAUACCGACUCUCGUCCAAAUUUGCUGAACUCCUACAAAAUUGUUUCUUCCGUCCCCAAUCAAACACCCCAAUGGUCAAA
rnacentral:lncRNA from 1 species